UGGGAUGAGUGUCCUGAGAAGGGAACAGAGCUGGGCAAGGCUCUGGAGCUCAAGGGAUAGGACAAGAGGGAAUGGCCCCAUGUUGUGUCUGGUGAGGUUUAGAGUGGAAACUGGGGGAAAUCUCCCCACUGGAAAGUUGGUCAGGUAUUGGGCCAGGCUGCCCAGAGGCACCAAUGCUGGAAAUGUUCAAAAGGAGUGUGGAUGCAGUGCUCAGAUAAAUGCUUCUGUGCUCUUGAAUUCACAGUUAGACUUGAUGACCUUGCAGGUCGUUCCCAACCGUAAUGAUUCUGUGAUUCUUUGGUUAAAAGGAGGUGGAAACACAAAUAGCAAAGGAUCAAUCUGCUGUUUGCAGUGCUGGGUGUGCUCUGCUUUAGGGACAGCUUUCCCCUCCCCUCCUUCCCCAAAUGAAAACUCCAAUCUAUGCUUGCCACAUUUUAGUUUUGCUCCAUUUUUACCCUAAAAAAAGUGUGUUAAUAAGCAUCUCUUUGCAGCUAGGGAGCCACUUCCAGAUGUGUUUAUCGUGAAUGUCCUUAUCCUGUGUGCCAUUUGGUCAUGCUGAGCUCAAGAGGGAGCUUGCCCUAGACCCAGCUCAGAGGAUAUUCCUGCAGGAGCCACUGCUCCGAGCAAAGUGCUGUGGCAACAUCCAGGAGAUGUCUAUUCCUGCCCUCAUCCCUGAAAUGUGUCCCUCAUAAACACAGCCAAAUAAUUUGGAUGCUUUUUCUGUGCAGAGUGGAGAGAGCUGCCGUGGGAACUUUGAGAGCUUGAGUGUCUUGUUUUGCAUGCCAAGGAAGGAAAGGAAAAGCUGAAGUGCCUGAGGUGCAUGGAAGCAUUUUGCUCUAUUCCCUGCCUUUGCUUAGUGCCACCUGUGUUUCCCCACUGCAGGCAUCACUGGACAUGAUCCCUCUGGAGGUGCUGCCAGACCAUUGAGUGCUCCAUCCCUGCCCUCCAGACACCCUCUUCCUGGAGGAAAGUCGGCAGCUUUGGGUUUAUUCCAUUUUUUCACCCAUGCCAAAGCCUAUUUAAUAUCAAGUUUGCUGUGGGUUUGUUUGGGUUUGGUCCCACAAACGCCUCUGGGGCAGGUCAGUGCAUCUCCCAAGCCACCCCUUGGCUGUGCCUUUGGAGUUUGCAAAAUUUGUGUUGUUCUGCUUGGAUAUCCCUCCCCACCUCAGUCCCAAAUGGUGGGAAGCAUCAGGGAAUGGUAUUGAUAAACAAUAGAUGUCUGGUGGAGACACUGGUGAUUUUCCUGGUACAAAAGGCUGCUGCAUCCUCUGUGAUAAUUCCCCUUUUUUCCCCUCCUUGUUGGCCUUGUGGUUUUGUGAUUUAUUUGUGGGCUGGCAGGCGUCCACAGCCCUGCAGGAAAUGGAUGUCUGCUCUUGUGUUUGGGGGGGGCCAUAGAAACGUGUAAUUUUCCCACUACAUUAAUUACAGACGUUUCUCCCUGGCUGGAGCAGCUCCACAGUUUCUCUGCCCUUUUGGUUUGUUCUCCCCAGCCCAGGCUGAGAGUAUUUAUAGGGAACCCCAGCUCUGACAUCCUCAGCUGAGCUGGGGGAAAGUUAAAGAACUUGGCCACAAAAACUGUAGAGGGGAAACUCUGGCCUUAUUUUACUUGAUAGUAACUCCAGGACAGCAGCACGGCUGAGUUUUCCCUGGGUAUUCCUCCUGCUGACAUUUUCCUCAAGGAUAGAAGUGGUUUGCCCUAAGAAAACAAAAAACAACCCUCUUGCUAUGGAAAAGAAUUGUAGGGCAAUUUACUUUGGAAUAGCUGUGCUACCUAAUUCCUGGCUCCUGGAGAGGGACCCAGCUAGACUUGGAGCAAAGAAAGGAAACCUGAGGCAAAAUCCAGUGUGGUUGAAUCAGGUUUUGUUGGAGGAAAGGCUGGACAAGCCUCUGUGAGGCCCUGGCCCAGGGUGCCUAGAGAAGCUGUGGCUGCCCCUGGGUCCCUGCAAGUGUCCAAGGCCAGGCUGGAUGGGGCUUGGAGCACCCUGGGAUAGUAGAAGGUGUCUCAGGAGUGUCAGGGGGUGAAACUGGAUGAGCUUUGAGGCCCUUUCAACCCAAACCAGUCUGGGAUUCUGUGGUCUCGGACAGCAGUGGAGUCAAAAUCAUAAUUUCCAGCAGAUUGAAUGCACCUAUGGUGUUCUUUGGCUUGUAACAUGGGUUCUCCAUGGAUUCCUGAUGAAACAGGAAUGCCCUGCUAUGAUUUUUCUCAUUUUUAUCCUGCCAGAAGUGAGGGUGAAGGAUGUGGGAUGUCUGCAAGGACAGGACAAAAACCUGAGCCAGCCUGGUGGCAUGAAACCGGGAGGGAGGUGAGAAUCUGUGAUGGGGACAUCCAGGGAUGCAGAAUUCUGGGAUGUCACCUCCCAUUUGGAGUCAUUGCCUGGCUGUGCUGCUGCUCUGGCUCUGCUGUGAUGUGUCUCAUCCUUUCUGGGGUCGGGAAUGUUCCACCUACAAAGUUUCUCCCAGGGGUCCCAGCAAACCUUUGAGUAAAUCCAUCCAGAUCCACAUUAAAUUAAGCAUUUACUGUUUUUGUCCUGCCUCAUCCUCUGUAAGCCUUGAGCACCUUCCAUGACCUCUCUCACAUUUCACUUUCAGAGUGCAGCCCACGUGUGGGCCACGAGCUCCACGAGUCAGUGUGGGCUUGUGCAGGGCUGUUGUUGCAUUCCUGUGGCUGAGGCAGCGGCUUGGGGCUGGAGACAGAGCCCUCAGGAGCUGGCUUUCCUUGGGAAAGCACCCACCUGACCAUGAGCACAGCGUGGCUGGGCCUGGACAUGCAGGCUGCUGUUACCUCUGCACCUGGUCUGGCCUCACUGAGUGGUGGAAGCUCUCCUGGUGAGGGAAGGAUGCCCUGGUGAAAUCUAUUUCAUAGAAUCACAGAA